rnacentral:lncRNA from 1 species
UUGACCCAAAUUUGACCCAAAAUGGCAGAAAUUUGACCCAAAUUUGGGCCCGUUUUGGGUCACCAAUGUUGACCCCAAGGAGAGAGUGGGGGUGGAGGACCCCAAAAUGUCCCAAAUUUGACCCAAAUGUCCCAAAUUUGCCCCCAAAUGUCCCAAAUUUGACCCCAAUUCCCUCAAAUUUGACCCAAAAUGUCCCAAAUUUGACCCAAAUUUGACCCAAAAUGGCAGAAAUUUGACCCAAAUUUGGGCCCCGUUUGGGUCGCCAAUGUUGACCCAAGGAGAGAGUGGGGGUGGAGGACCCCAAAAUGUC